rnacentral:rRNA from 1 species
CGCGUAGGCGGACCACCAAGUCGGGGGUGAAAUCUUUCAGCCUAACUGGAAAACAGCCUUCGAUACUGGUGGCCUGGAGGGAGGUAGGGGCGCGUGGAACUCAGGGUGGAGCGGUGAAAUGCGUAGAUAUCCCGAGGAACGCCGGUGGCGAAAGCGACGCGCUGGACCUCGCCUGACGCUGAGGCGCGAAAGCCAGGGGAGCAAACGGGAUUAGAUACCCCGGUAGUCCUGGCCCUAAACGAUGGGUACUAGGUAGUGGACUUGACAUGGGUUCACUGCCGAAGCAAAAGUGUUAAGUACCCCGCCUGGGGAGUAUGGUCGCAAGGCUGAA